AGCAUUAUACCGUGAAACUGCGAAUGGCUCAUUAAAUCAGUUAUCGUUUAUUUGAUAGUACCUUACUACUUGGAUAACCGUGGUAAUUCUAGAGCUAAUACAUGCAGAAAACCCCGACUUCGGAAGGGGUGUAUUUAUUAGAUAAAAAACCAAUGCCCUCCGGGGCACCUUGGUGAUUCAUAAUAACUUCUCAGAUCGCAUGGCCUUGCGCCGGCGACGGUUCAUUCAAAUUUCUGCCCUAUCAACUUUCGAUGGUAAGGUAUUGGCUUACCAUGGUUUCAACGGGUAACGGGGAAUUAGGGUUCGAUUCCGGAGAGGGAGCCUGAGAAACGGCUACCACAUCCAAGGAAGGCAGCAGGCGCGCAAAUUACCCAAUCCCGACACGGGGAGGUAGUGACAAUAAAUACUGAUACAGGGCUCUUUUGGGUCUUGUAAUUGGAAUGAGUACAAUUUAAACCUCUUAACGAGGAACAAUUGGAGGGCAAGUCUGGUGGACGAUCAGCUCCCAGCUGGCGCCAGAGAUAGUUGGGCACUUCGGUGUUAUGCCAACUAGUCGAGUAUCUGUCAAUUGAUGGGAAGAUACCGGCGAGACAACCUGGAUCGGGGAAGGCUAAGGCGGUCUACGCUAUGCUGAUCCCGAGCAGAACCCCUGCGGAGCAAUCUGUGGAUGGUCUGUGUAGAGCGCGCAAAGGUGUCGGUCGGCUCCAUGAGUCGGCUUAAGGGACGUGCCAUUCCCACUCGAAAGGGUGGCUGCCAGCCGUAGUGCCCAUCACACGAUGGCUGGCGGGUUUGAGCUAGAAGCACUUGAGUGUUUCAUGAUCGAACGGUUGAAGAGGCCAGCAGCCGCGGUAAUUCCAGCUCCAAUAGCGUAUAUUAAAGUUGUUGCAGUUAAAAAGCUCGUAGUUGAAACUUUGGCCUGGCUGGCAGGUCCGCCUCACCGCGUGCACUUGUCCGGCCGGGCCUUUUCUUCUGGAGAACCGCAUGCCCUUCACUGGGUGUGUUGGGGACCAGGACUUUUACUUUGAAAAAAUUAGAGUGUUCAAAGCAGGCCUUUGCUCGGAUACGUUAGCAUGGAAUAAUAGAAUAGGACGUGCGGUCCUAUUUUGUUGGUUUCUAGGACCGCCGUAAUGAUUAAUAGGGACAGUCGGGGGCAUCAGUAUUCAAUUGUCAGAGGUGAAAUUCUUGGAUUUAUUGAAGACUAACUACUGCGAAAGCAUUUGCCAAGGAUGUUUUCAUUAAUCAGUGAACGAAAGUUAGGGGAUCGAAGACGAUCAGAUACCGUCGUAGUCUUAACCAUAAACUAUGCCGACUAGGGAUCGGGCGGUGUUAUUAUUUUGACUCGCUCGGCACCUUACGAGAAAUCAAAGUGUU
rnacentral:rRNA from 1 species